GACGAACGCUGGCGGCGUGCUUAACACAUGCAAGUCGAACGGAAAGGCCCUGCUUUUGUGGGGUGCUCGAGUGGCGAACGGGUGAGUAACACGUGAGUAACCUGCCCUUGACUUUGGGAUAACUUCACGAAACUGGGGCUAAUAUCGGAUAGGAGCUCCUGCUGCAUGGUGGGGGUUGGAAAGUUUCGGCGGUUGGGGAUGGACUCGCGGCUUAUCAGCUUGUUGGUGGGGUAGUGGCUUACCAAGGCUUUGACGGGUAGCCGGCCUGAGAGGGUGACCGGCCACAUUGGGACUGAGAUACGGCCCAGACUCCUACGGGAGGCAGCAGUGGGGAAUAUUGCACAAUGGGCGGAAGCCUGAUGCAGCAACGCCGUGUGCGGGAUGACGGCCUUCGGGUUGUAAACCGCUUUCGCCUGUGACGAAGCGUGAGUGACGGUAAUGGGUAAAGAAGCACCGGCUAACUACGUG
rnacentral:rRNA from 1 species